UAGGGAAUUUUCGUCAAUGGGCGCAAGCCUGAACGAGCAAUGCCGCGUGAGUGAGGAAGGUCUUCGGAUCGUAAAGCUCUGUUGCGGGGGAAAAAAGGAAGCAGAAAGGAAAUGGUCUGCUUUUGAUGGUACCCCGCCAGAAAGUCACGGCUAACUACGUGCC
rnacentral:rRNA from 1 species